rnacentral:lncRNA from 1 species
GGGGCCCGGAACCGAGAGGGAGGCCCCGUUCAGGAGGCGCAAGAGGCACCCCGAUGAGCCGGGCCGGUUCGCCGUCGCCCUGGUCAUCAUCUACCGGACCCUGGGGCAGCUCCUGCCCGAGCACUAUGACCCUGACCGCCGCAGCCUCCGGUAAGGCUUUCCUAAGUUGCCACCCGGACGUCUGAGGACGUCACCCCGUGACCCUGGUGCAAGGCCGCAGACCGCUACCUGCGGUCUCCCGGGGACGAGGUUCUGGGUCUCCGGGCGGGGCCUUCCCUGGUGUUUCUGCCGGGAGCGCCCCCUCCCCAGCACACACCCCGCUCGUGCCUCGAUGGACACCGUUGCUGCCCUGCACUCCGCAGCCCGGGGGACUGUUCCCCUCGCACCCGUGUGCCCCGGGCCGCCGGUGGCCCCCCUUCUGCCUGGAGAAACGAACGCCGCCCACGGGGGCUUCGUGGCCCCCCUCAGAGCUGGGCCGCCACCGAGGCUUUGCUUUCCAACCGUCGUAUCAUUCUCCACACGUGUCCCUGGCUCCCCGGUGUUCAUACUCCUCCUUCUUCGUGGCCGGAUGAGAUUCUGCCAUGAGGUGUAAUUAUUCCGAGCUCCGGUCGUUUCCAGGGCUUCCACAAGGUCAGCGACACCCUCGCACACACCCCUUCUUUCUCUUCAUUUUAAUUUAUUUAAAAAAAUUAUUUUUAAUGUUUAUUUAUUUUUGAGACAGAGAGAGAGACAGGGGAGCAGGGGAGGGGCAGAGAGAGAGGGAGACACAGAAUCGGAAGCAGGCUCCGAGCCAUCCGCACAGAGCCCGACGCGGGGCCCGAACCCACGAACCGCGAGAUUGUGACCUGAGUCGAAGUCAGUCGCUCAACUGAGCCACCCAGGGGCCCCAUCUUUCUCUUCAUUUUUAAAUGUCCGAAGUCCGCCUCUGACCCAGACGUGCCGCCCACGUCCCCCGCGCCUGCCCUGGCCGUCGCAGAGCUGCUGCCUGGCCCGGGCCCUUCUCCGGAGCAGCGGCUGAGGCUCCAGCUCUGCCCUCCUGGGAAGACGUCCGCCCCGUGUGUCCCUGGGGCGUGUCCUGGGGCACAGGGCUUAGACGAGUGUCUUCUGAGUGUCUAACCCUGUGUUCCCGCUUCUCCCCCCGCCCCCAGGUUGCCUAACCGGCCGGUCAUUAACACACCGGUGGUGAGCGCCGUGGUUUACAGCGAGGGGGCCCCGCUCCCCAGCCCCCUGGAGAGGCCCGUCCUGGUGGAGCACACCCUGCUGGAGACCGAGGAGCGCACCAAGCCCGUCUGCGUGUUCUGGAACCACUCCAUCACGUAAGGGUGACGUGAGGAGUCGGCAGCCACUCCCACCCCCAGAGUUCUGCGUUUAUGGGGGGAGGGGUCAUUGCUACAGCCCCCAACACUGUUGGCAGAGUGUCUUACGGGGCAGGAGGCGCAUCCUGGGCGUGUCAGAGUCCCCCAACACAGUCCCACAUGCGCACGUGCACAUCUGUGUGUGCACGGAUGUACGCGGCUAGGAACACAGACAGGCACCCGUGUGCACCCGUGCGCACAGAUGCUCAUAGACGUCCCCCGGGAAGGUCCACACAGAGACAGCGCCGUGCACCUGUUGGACUCCGCGAUCCGGCAACCAACGAGUGCCUGAUCGCCUCCAGACUAGGCAGGGGCUCGUUCUAGAUGCGCAUAUGAGGCAGGAGUCAGAGACCGGGCCCAGGGCCCCUUCCACGGACAGCAGAAAGUCCCAGAUGUGUGUGUGUGGGUUGGGGGGCGGGCAUCCUUUUAACAGCCAGCGGUCCCUGACCUCACCUGCCCGCCCGUGAGAUCAACCCAGCUGCCGCUGGGGCUGCUUUUACCCCUCGGAGGCCAUACUCGCCCCCCCUCCCCCCCGCCUCCAUGCUUGAAAUGAGGAUGGAACUUUGUGCAUCUGGGGGUUUGUUUCUGCGCCUCGCGGACAUUCCCUAACGCCGUGGUUCACGUGGAUGGAGAAGGUGUCCGCCAGGCAGGGCUCCAGCCGCGCUGUGCUGGGAGCUGGUCCCCAGGGAGAGCCCUGCAAGGGGCUCCCCCUGGGCCACGGGCUCGGCUGCACAGAGACCUCGUGUCUCCUUGAUUUCCCAAAUUCUGGUUAAUGAGCAGCCAACAUCGUGUCUGGAGUAUAAUAGACGCUUGGCUCACAAAAGAGAGAAAGAAGGACCCGCUUUCACCGCGAGGGAAGCGUGAAGGUCUGUUUGGCAUGUGUUAGGCACGGCAGUCUCUCAUGGUCGCCCGAUUGAAUCCCAGCAAUUAGCUGUAGCUCUAAUUACACUCUGGCUGCUUUCUGUGGUACCUAUCACCCCCAGAUCUUAGCGCUCUUGACAAACUGGUAUUAGCCUUCACGUCCCAUUUCACAGGGGCGUAAACUAAGGAUCAGAGAACUUACUUGAUUUUCCCAGAGUCAGGGAGGGCAGGGCGCUCUCUGAGCCUGAGACACGCCUGUAGCAGCCCGUAGUCAUCUGGGGUUUCCCAUCAGUAAAACGGGGGUAAUAAUCGGCCCCUGCUUCCGGGCGCUGCCGUAAGACGUUGUGCAAUCUGCAGAUGAGAGCGUGAAACGAACGUGAGACACUAUUUCGUAAACCACCUAGACUCAAAAGAAGACUGAAGUACAAAGCGGCCAUUGUAACCACUAUUAUUUCGGACAAAAGGGGCGUCCGGUGACCUCAGACAUCCCCAUUUAAGUUUUACUGCGAGAUGACGCAUAAACCACGAACUUCAGAGGGUAGAGGCACUCCCCCGCCACGAGAGGGAAGGGAGAGUGUCCACGCGGUCCCAAGCGCUGCUGUCCUCCUAGAGGGUGACCGUGGCUUCCGUCUCGGGCGACGUGAGGAUGCCGCGCCGGCUCCCACGGGGGCAGCUGGGCCUCGGAGACCCCCUGGAGGAAGCAGCCGUCUCACGCCUGCCUUUCCUCUGCAGCAUCGGCGGGACCGGAGGGUGGUCGGCCAAGGGCUGCGAGCUUCUGUCCCGGAACCGGACCCACGUCGUCUGCCAGUGCAGCCACACCACCAGCUUUGCCGUGCUCAUGGAUGUCUCCAGACGAGAGGUGGGCGCGGCCCCCACGGGCAGCCCUGCCCAGCUGGCGAGUGUGUCCAGGGAUGAAUCCCUUUGCACAGCUAGCCUCCCCCCAGACCUGCCCCCUCAACGAGUCCUGUCUUCCCUCCCGGGCAUCUCCAACAAACCCAGUCCACGGUUAAAACCUGUGUUUGGGGGGGGCCUGGCCAGAGUCUGCCAGGAUUUCCAGAACAAAACUCCUUGGAAAGAGUUUUCAAAGAGCCCGGCCGUAAAUUAAAACCCACGGUGGGAGACCCUGAGCCUCAGACUGAAGAAGGCCCUAGAAUAUACCCUUACUUCAAAGCAGGAUUCUCUGUGUUUUUCUACCCCACUUUAUUUUAUUUUACUUUAUUUAUUUAUUUUUAAUGUUUAUUUUUGAGAGAGAGAAGGUGGGGAGGGAGAGAGCGCACAUGUGAGCAGGGGAGAGGGGCAGAGAGAGGGGGCACAGAAUCCGAAGCAGGCUCCAGGCUCCGAGCCAUCAGCACAGAGCCCGACGAGGGGCUCGAACCCGCGAACCGCGAGAUCGUGACCUGAGCCGAAGUCAGACACUUAACCGACUGAGCCACCAGGCGCCCCUAUAAAGUUUUUUUUAAUGGAUAUUUAUUUUUGAGAGACAGAGACAGAGCACAAACAGGGAGGGGCAGAGAGAGAGGGAGACACAGAAUCGGAAGCAGGCUCCAGGCUCUGAGGCGUCAGCACAGAGCCCGACGAGGGGCUCGAACCCGCGAACCGUGAGAUCGUGGCCUGAACUGAAGUCAGACGCUUAACCGCCUGAGCCACCCAGGCGCCCCUGUUUCUACCCCGCUUUAAAUUUUAAGGGAGGAAAGAGCCGGCUGGCCGGAACAAAGCGAGUGUCUCCCGUUAGCACGAGACACGCGUGCUGGCCCCCGGAGACUCAAAGGAGGGGGCUCGGUCAGGAGCCACGGAGGCCGGCUAAUGUUUAACCCCCUCGCAUUUUCCACGGCCUGGGAAUGCAAGCCGGCCUCUGCCAGCCUGAGGGUGGAUGGGGUGAAUAGAGCAGCGGGCCCCCCAGCAGGCAUGGCAGCGGGGUCAGCCUGGGCCCAGACGUGUGUAGACGUUGGUGUCUCAGAGCCAGAAGGGAGGCCUCACCUGUCACCUUUGUUUCAGACCUGGGAUGUGUCCUGGGAGGCCAGGCCGUCGUCCCUCCCGAGGGCCCUCUGGUGUGCAGGGGACCAAAUUUGUGUCCCACUGUUGGGAGGGUAACAGCCGUGAGUUGCUGCUGAUGGCGGCCAGGGUGACGAGAGGGGAGGGUGUGCCCCCAAGGCUUCCCCUGACCGUGGAGCUGCUCUGAGCAGGUGGCACUUAGGAGCAGGGAGCCCUGGGUUCUGACCUGGAGGGGGUGUGUUAUUAGUGGCCCUUGUCCACCUAGGGGCGGGAUGGGGGGGACCUCCCCGAGCCAGGAAGCUGGGCACUGCCGGGAGCAGACUAACAGGUGGGGAAAGCCGAAGUUCGGUGACGUGAAGUCAAACGGGAAUAGGACUCCCUGCUCCCUGCCCCGGUGCCUCAGGGCCAGAGCCCUCUCGACAGCCGGACGCAGCCUCCGGGCCUCCCCAGUGCUGCACCUGCACGGGCCGCAGAAGGAGAGAGCCCUGAGCCCUCAGCGCCCCGGUCCCAACCCUGUCCCGGCUCCCAGCCUUACCCUGGGUGGCCCGGCUCGCAAUUCUGCUCGAGUCGUGAGUUCAGAGCGCUUUCCGGAAGUUACUGGAGAGCCGAAGCUGGUCGUUUCCCAAGUGCCAAGACUCCGCCCGGGCACCGGGCCCUGGACAAACGGCCCGUUUUGCAGAAGCACAGGAGACAGUUGCAGUCCGUGCCGCUGGGGCACAUCUGCCUGCUGCGUAAAGUGAGGGUCUGUCUGGAAGAAGUCCCUCUCGGCUCAGAAUUUGGGGCAGGUGGGCUCCGCACCUCCUGGAGAGUCGGAUUUACGUGCGAGGCUUUCUGUGUCAUCCGCGCUCGUGUUUCUUGUGAUGGCAAAACACACACAACACAGGUGCACUCCCUUAGCCACGUUUAAGUGGACCGUCCGUUCACCGAGCUGUGCCCCCACCACCCGGUCCCCUUUUGCCCCCCACCCCCCAGCGAUUCAUUUGGCUUUUGUCCUCAGUUCUUCGCCAGCCUGGGAACCACGUCACGGCCGCGUUGGUUCCUGUCUGUGAUAGUUGCUACGUUAAUGAGACUUUACUGUCCAAAACCUCCAUCAGAGCGAGGCCCUUACGUUCUCCUGCCUCGCCCCACCUGCCCGCAGCACGGGGAGGUCCUGCCCCUGAAGAUCGUCACCUACGCUGCCGUGUCCUUGUCCCUGACCGCCCUGCUGGUGGCCUUCGUCCUCCUCACGCUGGUGCGGACUCUGCGCUCCAACCUGCACGGCAUUCACAGGAACCUCAUCGGGGCCUUGUUCUUCUCCCAGCUGGUCUUCGUGAUCGGGAUCACCCAGACCGGAAACCCGGUGAGGCCCCUCUGCCCCCUCUGCUUGCGGGUCCCACCCUUGUCCGAGGCCGGGGCACGUGACUCGCGAGGGAGCGAGGGGAAGUGGCCGCAGCGCAGACGCUGAGUGGGUUGGCCUGGAGGGAGGAGGGAGAGUGGGAGGUGAGCUGAGGCUAGCGGGGGCCCAGGGCUGGUGGGCCUUCUGUAGGAUGCGAGAGAGCUUAGCCCCCGACGUGUCGGGGUGGAGGGAGGGACGGGCUGCCGGCCUCGGCAAGGUCCCCGGGGGCUGGGGUGGGGAUCAGCCGACGUGACAGGUAGUAGGGAGAAGCACAGGGAAUCUUGGCGGUUUGUGGCUUAGGCAGCGCCUGGCUGGGGGCAAAGCAGUUUCCCGUUUCUACAAAGGGGACUUGUAGAACACCAGGGUCACAGCACAGCAUGCCCACGGGGGGCACGGGUGGAGGUGUAGGCUGUGUGCCCAGGCUCUACACACACGCCUGGGCUUACUGGAUCCCCCCGGGGCCCCGGGAGUUGGGGGCAUCCCUUCUCACAGGUGAGGAGCCAGGACCCGAGAGCUUGAGGGACUGUCGGAGGCACACGGCACGCCCUGUGCGUGUUCCCUUGUGCGUCCGUCACAAAGUGGGGACCCUGAUAGCCCUGGGGAGACGCGAGGCCAGCUGAGCACCACACGUGCAGAUGCAGUGAGGGCGGGAAGCGCACAGGUUAUUCUCGCCUGACCCCGAUCUCUGCCAGGGCGAGCCGUGAGCCCUCACUCUCUCUCACUGGGCCCUUCCGAGGGCACCGCCACCAAUUGCUGGUGACAUGGGGGCCGCUUCUUCAUUCCCCUUGCAGCAGGGACCUAGCGAUUGUCACUCUGUCACACCCACCAGAGACCCGGAUCCCACAGACCCUCCCGUCCCUGCCCGUGGAGUCCACCUUCCCGACGCGGACGCAAAUCGCGGCUCAUGAGUUUCACGUGCCCAAAUGGUGCCAUGGUGGCAGGUGGGGGGCUGGGCCCGGUUAGGGAAGGGCUGACCAUGCGAUGGGAGGGGUCCAGGAUGAGUGGGGACGGGUUGGGUGUCGACCGGAGCCCUAGGGGCCACGCCAGGCAUUGUGCUGUGGAGAGCCAUGACCGGGGCCGCAUGGCAGGAAGGUGACCGGAGGGCAGAGUCACAGCCAGGGUGGGGUUGUUCGUCCUGCGUCCACGGGAUGGAGGCCUAGCACCAGGACAGCAGGCACGGGUGGACGGCGGGCGUCGGGGCCAAGUGCACAGGGAGACCGGAGGGAAGGUGCCUUAGGUCUCCAGAAGGGGAACAAGCAGGGGAGGAUGCCACCAAGUGAGAGGGACACUCGGUGGCUGGCCACGCUGCUGGGGGCUGGGGAGAGUGUGGAGAGGUGCGUGGGGAGGCGAUCCCGCCCGUGACAAAGAAAUGUAUGCGAAUGGGCCAGCCCUAGCGGAGGAAGAAGGCGUAUAUAAAAAGACAUAGAAUGUUCUAGCCCACUGGUCAGGGCCACUUGCAUGCCUGGGCUCCUCCUCCUCCUUGUUGAGACCCCCUCAGGUGGCCCGACCUCCUCAGGAGGAAGGGGGGAGGUCGAGGCAGGGUGUCACAGGCAGACAGCCUUGAAGGCCUCAGGGACUUCGCGGCGGUGACUCAUGUAGCAGCGGGCCCGGCAGAGGACAGACCCGCAAGCAUUUGCCAGCCUGCCCUCCAGGGUGCCCCUUGGACUGGGGGGAGGGCCCCAGGGCGGUGCCGGGCAGGGGUUUCUGGGCAUCCGGCCGGGCAGGUGCGCCUCUGCCCGAGCGCAGGUCCUUAUCGGCGCAUCAGACAGGUGAAGGCUCUGGGUGGGAAGCCACAUGACUCAUUUCAAGCCCUUCAAGCGUGCCCUUGAGUGGUCUCAGCAGCGGGGAAUGUGGAGUCGGCCGAGCCGCACCUUGCAGCUAAGUAGCACGUGUGAAACGCAGGGAGGCCGCCCGCUUAUUUCGAGCACUGACUCAUCCCCCUGCCAGGAAUGAGCUUUCAGCCAGCGGCGCACUGGGGAGCCGGGAGGGCAGGAGUGCCGGCCGCACAUAACUAGGGGCCUGGCUCGGCGCCUGGGUUUUAUGGGGUUUCUGCAAACUCGCAGGCCCAUCUCUGGGCGAGGUGUUUCAUCUCCCGGAUCACUGGCAGGUUAAAAUGAUUUAUCGUGCAUUAGCAUUUUGUCUGUGUUCUGUUUCUGCAGAAGGUAGUACGUUUAGUGCAGAAGUCUGUGCGUGUAGAGCCCCAUUAAAUUGUGAAAUGUAUUUCUAACUAUUUUUUUUUAAAAGGUGGUUUUUGUGGGUUUACUUUUCACAUUAUUUAAGGCAACACGCCAGCCCACCUCACUGUCCUAUCUUUUCUGAGCCAACUGCGCUCUGCGUACGGGGCACGCUGGGGCCGUUUGGUGUGGGGUUCCUCUGCCCCGGGCUCGCCCUUGGCAUCCCGAUGGCCCUGCCCAUCGCUAAGGGCAGACUCUCCCGUCUCCUGACUCUUGAGUCAGGCAAAGGGCAGGAUGUCCACUCAUAAUCUAAGAUGCUGUGUUUCCUUCUUUGUCCUGUGUUUGACGAAUGUAAAUGCUAAAAUCGUUUCCUCCCACGUCUCCGGGGUUCAGAAGAACCUGGUCUGUGGAGGUUGACGUGGCAACGGGCGUCACUUAAGUGCCCAGCCGGUCCGUGCUCUGGUGAGCUCCCCACGGGGAACACCGAGCUGGCACCUGAGCCGAGCAGCCUUCAGUGUGGGUCAGGGUGGUGGCCCUGUGUCUCCUACUCCUGUGUCUGUUGGGUGGGGUGGGGGUGGGGUCUCCCUGGGACCCCUGGGAACCUGGGAGCUUGUGCUGAUGGGGCAGCAGCCAGGAUUGGACAGAAUGUCUCGGGAAUGGGGCGGACUGUGGCCUGGGGGAGGGGUAGUCGUAGCCCUGUAGCCUGGAGUCGGGCCAGGAGGGGCACUGCUGGGUGUGGGUGGGGCCAAGAGUGGGUGGGCCCAAGAGGGGCGGGGUUUGGGGGAAGGAGGGCCCCCGGGACCUGGAUGUGGGUGUGGCUGGGAGGGGCGGGGGUGUGGGUGGGGCCAGNNNNNNNNNNNNNNNNNNNNNNNNNNNNNNNNNNNNNNNNNNNNNNNNNNNNNNNNNNNNNNNNNNNNNNNNNNNNNNNNNNNNNNNNNNNNNNNNNNNNNNNNNNNNNNNNNNNNNNNCAGGAAGAGCAGGGCCUGGGUGUGGGUGGGGCCAAGGGCUGGGUGGGUGGGGCCAAGAGGGCGGAGCCUGGGGCUUUCUCUUCCCGCCCCUCUCACAGUUACCCUCUCCGUAGCGCCUCACCAGCUUCUUAGGACCUGGCGGGGCACCUGCCCACAUCUUGCAGCCAGCCAGGCUCGGGACCCCUGGCCAGCUCAGCCCCUCCCUGUGAGGCUGCUCUGGACCAAGGCACAGGGCUGUUCGAGGUCCCUCCUAGAGCACCUCGCACUGCACUUUCACUGGUGGCCUCAGAGACUUGACUCCCUGUGACCAGCGUCCCCAGCCCCUCCCCGAUGCUGCUUUCUUCCCAUUUGAAGGGACACGGGGCUGGCCCACCAAGACCUGGAGAGGCCGGGAUGCUGACCCUCGGCUGCCCUGUGGAAGUUGGUUUUCUCCUCCCACUGGUGGGGGGGGUUGUAGCGCUGCCCAGCUGAGGACUGAGACAGAGCAAAUACUCUCUCGUCUCUGUUCUUUUUGGGAGGCAGGAAGUAUAUGGCUCCGUGAACUCAGUGCGGGCAGGAUGAACUUUUUACCUGACAGGUCACGAAGCGUGGGGCCUCCCCCCCCCCUCUGACCACACCUGCUGGACUCUGGAGACCCACACAAGGGUCCAGGGCGGUGGGUGACGGCCAGCAUCACAGCCUGAACCGCUGCCUCUGUGUUUCUUGAACUUUAAAGCCAGUGUCACGAACAUGCACGUUUCCAGCUUCAAAUGGAAACCCUAGAGGUUCUGCCUACCGUCCGCCCCCUGGCUGGAUCGGUCCAGGCACCGAUCUGGGUUGAGGAAUGGGUCCCCCGAGGCCCCCAGCAGCCUCACUUCCUGUCCUCUGUUCCACGGUGGGAGCCUGAGGCGCUGUGACUGUUCGUGCCCAGCCAUUCCGGGUGAACCAAAUAGGAAAACCAACUCACUCGGCUUCCCUUCUCAGACCUCCGUACCCUCACGUUUGCAAAGUGGUGUGAUUUGGUCACUAGCCCCCCCCCCCCCGCCCCCCCCCCCCCCCGCCCUGUGCCCCUUUGGCCCUCGGCCCCAGGCGCGGCAGGCGCGGGCUCCCGCGGGGCUGGCACUGAGCCGCACUCCCUUCCGCACAGUUCCUGUGCACGGUGAUCGCCAUCGUCCUGCACUACGUCUACAUGAGUACCUUCGCCUGGACCUUUGUGGAGAGCCUGCACGUGUACCACAUGCUGACCGAGGUGCGCAACAUCGACGCCGGGCCCAUGAGGUUCUACUACGUUGUGGGCUGGGGCAUCCCGGCCAUCAUCACAGGUGAGGACUCGAGCAGCGGCCCGGCUGGGGUGGCCUGGAUAGGGCACCCGCCACCGUUUGGGGAAUCCGCGUGGCGCUGCCGACACAGGUGCCCGUGUCAGGUGAGCCCGCGCCCCCGGGCCCAGGCGGACGAGCCCUCUGGCCUCCUCUGCCUUUGGUACCCAGCUCGACUGGCCCCCAGCGGAGGAGCCUCUGCCCUUGGGUCUGCACACACGAGCGUGAGCCUUCGGCGCCCGCUGCGGGGGUGCGUGUCCCGUCAGGUGUGGGCUCCCUGGGAGCUGAGGCGGGUCCGUUCGGGCUUCCGUCUGUGGCCGCUGACACACAAAAACUCCACGUUCGCCCGCUGUGUGCAUGGCUGGGUGUGGAUGUGUGGUCUCUAUGUAGCAUGUACGUGGAGUGUGUGUGCAGGGCUGGGAAUGCCCGUCCCGUGACCACGCGCCCCCCCGGGAGGAGCUUCUCCCGCGUGUGGCCCUCACCCCCUCCCCUGCUGUCCAGGACUCGCGGUGGGCCUGGACCCCCAGGGCUAUGGAAACCCCGACUUCUGCUGGCUGUCCCUUCGAGACACCCUCAUCUGGAGCUUUGCCGGGCCCAUCGGAACGGUUAUAAUUGUGAGUCCGGGAGUUCCGCAGAGCCCACGAUUCUCGGGACGUGGGAAGUGGGGUGCACGGGCUGGAGGCGGUUUUGGGGGCCAGCGGCUCCUCAGAGUGGCCUGUUGGGCGGGAAGGCCUGACCUCACGGCGACGAGGCCUUGCCCUUAGGCCUGUGGAUUCCGGGUUUCCUUCCACGUCCAGGUCCACGGUGAGGCCGCCCAUUCCAGCCUCUCCUCGAGAUGCAGGCACAGACCCUCCAAAGCGUUUGGUCUUUGGAGAUCUGUUGAAGUGAUACCCACGAGCUGGCCGCCUGACUUUGGUGUUUUUGGAACUUUUUUUUAGGUCAACACAGUCAUUUUUGUCCUGUCUGCAAAGGUGGCCUGUCAGAGAAAGCACCAUUAUUACGAAAGGAAAGGAGUCAUGUAAGUGGGCGCCAACCCCCGGGGCAGGUCUGCACUCCCAGCAGAGCCCCCGGAAAGCGCCUGUCACCCAGCGGCCAGGCCCUCGGCCACUCCCCAGCUUGGCCACUGGGGUGGCCUCGUGGGUGGGUGGGCAGGGCAAAGUGGGGAGAGGCCAGGGGCGCUGGGGCGCAUUGUGGGGGAGAGGGAGGGGGCCCGGGGAGAGGGGCGCGGGGAUCCCGGAGAUGUUGGGGCGGAGGACCCGCGGCGUUUGGUGGUCGAGACGCUGAGGGCUGAGGGGGGAGGGGCAAGCGAUGAGGCUUGGGCUCUGUCCCCCUCACCGGGUCAUGUUAACAGAUGGGGAUGGAAAGGGGAGGGACGAUGACAGCGGGUGGGGGGAGGUGCCGAGGUGCAGGGCAGGACGCAGCAGAGUGGGGUCAGGCAGGGUGCGGUGGGGGGUGCUCUGGAACUUUCUGGGUCGAUGACGACGGUGAUGUUGCGCCCCGCAGGAGUGGAGAGGUGGCGGGUGCUUUAAAAUGGUUUUGGGAAGGAAGGGAGGGAGGGGUGGACCAACGGGCGCACCCCUGUGGAGGGGAGGGCGGGGCCGAGAGUCACUCCCGCCCCUCCCCCCCGCAGCUCCCUGCUGCGCACCGCCUUCCUCCUGCUGCUGCUCACCAGCGCCACCUGGCUGCUGGGGCUGCUGGCCGUGAACAGCGACGCGCUGACCUUCCACUACCUGUUCGCCGUCUUCAGCUGCUUGCAGGUGGGCGGCCGUCAGGGUGCGCGGGCGGCCUCCGCGUGGGCCAGCCUUGGUGAGGCCACGGGUCACUUGUGCUCCCUCCCGUCUGAAAUGCCCGGAGGGCGUCCCCGGGGACGUCCUUGACCCAGCGUCCAGGCCGUGUCCUCGCUCUCAGGACACACGGGGCCACAGCAGGGUGGUGUGCCAGGGGUUACGGUGAGGCCUCCCCGCACACUGUCCCGCCCCCCAAGGAACCUGUUGUCGCCAGCCCAGCUCUGUCCAUGGGUUCCUCAGGGACCCCUCCCCCCCCCCCCAGGGCACCGUCCUUAGCCCAGCCAGUGCGGGGGCUCAUUCUCCCUCCACAGGUUAGAGUAGCUCCCACUUGUGUCCUCAGGGAGGGUGUUGGCCAUUUAAGUUCACACCGAGGGCUUCCCAGUAAGCUGACUGAGGAUGUCACAUUGGGGACACGGGUGGCCUGGCAUGGGGGGGCCUUCCUGGCCCUUGGCUGCCCUGCCCUGCUCCCCGGAGCAGGCAGAAGCCCUGGAGAGGGGCGGCGCCCUGUGCGUUCCCGGGCAGGUGGGUGGGCAGUAUGGCGGCCACAGGACCCUGGCUGCUUGCCCGAGGGCCAGUCCCUGCCCUGACCGGCCGCCCCUCCCUCCAGGGUCUCUUCGUCCUCCUGUUCCACUGCGUGCUCAACAGGGAGGUCCGGAAGCACCUGAAGGGAGUCCUCGCCGGGAAGAAGCUGCACCCGGAUGACUCGGCCACCACGAGGGCCACCCUACUGACGGUAGGCGAUCCCCAGGGACCCUGCGUGGGGCCGGGGGUCCUUGUGGGUGUCCAGACCAAGCGUUAGACACAGCUGCAUGGUCUCGGAGUCCCUCUCAGAGGGGCCAUCACAGAACCCCCUUGGAGAGUGGCACCGAGCCUGACGCCAUCCCUCAUGUCCUGGGGAGAGAGCACAGGGUCUCUAGAUGGGGUCUGUCACGGUCACAGCCCCACUUUUCAAGGUCUCAGAGGACAGGGUGGGACCCCAACGAGAAGCCGUUGCUGUGGGAAGGAAGCCAUUCCCUGACCACCGUGGGGGACUGGGGAUGUGCUCUGUGCCCAGCAGGGGCACAGUCAGGGUGCUGGCACUGGGGCUUGCCAUGGGGACAGAGCCAUCCUCUGUACCCCGGUGGCCUCUGCUCUGCCAGUGACCAUGUCCCCUCCCCCAGCGCUCCCUCAACUGCAACCACACCUACAGCGAGGAGCCCAACAUGUUCCGCACGGCCCUGGGCGAAUCCACAGCCUCGCUGGACAGCACCAUCAGGUCAGGCUGGAGCCAGGCGUCCUCGCUCGUCUCGGGCGGGGGUGGGGGGGGCAACUCUGGGGGCAAAUGCAGGCUGCCAGGCCAGCUGGAAAGGCCCCGGCCAGGGUGCUCUGCUGUUGUAGUUGAUGAGUUUCUCCGUGUGUUCUCGGGGUCUCUCAUGGCAGAGAACCUUCCAGAGCCCCACGGGGCCAUCUUGGCACAUGCCGAAGGUGCUCAGUGAUGUUGGGUGGCCAUGUCGUGCCCCUGAGUGAUGGUGCUGAGCCCACCCUCAUAUCCUCUCUAGGGACGAAGGGGGCCAGAAGCUCAGCGUGUCCUCUGGGCCAGCGCGGGGUGGCCAUGGGGAGCCAGAUUCGUCCUUUGUCCCCAGGAGCACCAAGAAGCCCCACGGUAGGUGCCCCCUGGAAGCCGGUCCCCCAUCAACCUGGGCAUCUCCCUCUCGGGUGGCCAUGGGUGACAGCUUCUGGCCGGCUCUUCUCUGGCCCACGGGCCUCACGGUCACUGGACGUGCAGCUUCGAAGAGAGUCUGCGGCCGCGUCGCAUUCGGAGGGUCAGCGGGGAGACGAUUUCUCCCCAGUGCCCGGGGCCCAGCUGGCCCCAUUCUGCCCCUGGCCUGAGCCUCUGUCCCUCCCGUCCACCCUGCAGGCCACGAUUCAGACUCGGAUAGCGAGCUGUCCCUAGAUGAGCAAAGCAGCUCUUACGCCUCCUCACGCUCAUCGGACAGCGAGGACGACGGG